UGGCUCAGAUGGUAAAGUGUCUGCUUGCAAUGCAGGAGACCAGGGUUCGAUCCCUG
rnacentral:tRNA from 1 species